AAAGCGUGUCAUUUGGAAUGGACGUAAUUUUUAAGAGUUUAUACAGAUUUUAUAUCAAAUGCAUGAUCAUUACUGUUCGAUCAUUAUUCAAAAUUGUUGGUGCUAUACAUACUUUAUAAAAGCAACGGCACUGGGAUCACCAUGUUCCGUGCAGAACCGCGCGAGCAAUCUGCUUGAAUGUAUUACCGGGAUCAUGACGCAAUUUAUGGACAGCGAAGUAUUUGGGUUCGGUAGACAGUAUCCUACCAUUUGCCCGGAAACGGUAGCUAGCAUCGACCCAAAGUGCAACAAUUUCCGGCUUAACAAUAAUGACAGUCUUGGUACCUGGCUUUUUCAAAGCAACGUGAUUAAUUCCCUGGACAGGUUCCUGUCUGUGAGGUACGAAUCUACUGAUAGAAACUUAACCGGUUGCGGUACGAAGUAAACCAGGGACGGCAAAGACAUGUUUAAUAAAGAUAUCGACCCACUUUCAGAAGACGUCGAGACGCCGUGGUUUACUAGCAACACGUACAUGUUGAAAAAGAGCAUUUUUUAAACGUUUUCCUUCUUGGAGAGGACAUCAACGUAGGCACAUUUGGAAGUCCUGAUAAAACAUACUUAUUCGGUGAUACA